rnacentral:lncRNA from 1 species
GCGUAGACUGCCAAAGCCAGGAUAUUACAAAUCAGAGAGGUUUAAAACAAGCGACUUGGGGGGCUAAAUCCCUCUUUUAGACACACAGUCGACACUCCCUUCACGGGAGGGCGGUGGUUUUUAAUCAUGCCUUAAAAAUUCCUUAAAAGCAGGGGGUCUCCCCUCCGCGAGGGGCGGUCGGCAGAGGUGAGUCACCGCUCGCCCGGGCGCUCCGUGAGGGGAGCGGGAGGCAGAGGGGAGGACAGUGCGUGCCUUAUGAAUAAACCGGCUAUUAGGCUGAUGCUUCAAGUAACAUUAUCCAGCACCAAGCUGCUUAGACCUCAGCAGAUCUUGAUUCUGAAGAAUGACACAAUCAACUGUCAGGGCUGAGCAUCAAACUGCUCUUGGUGCCCCUGGAACCAUUCUCAUCUGGGUCUUGAGUCCUGGCUCACUGGCUGUCCUUCCUUGAGUUUUUCAGGUGUAUACCCAGGGAGACCAUUGUCCCUACAGAUUCCAGAUUCAUGGAGCUGAAUGUGGCUGGCUGGACUCUUCACCUCAUCCAGGCUUAUGUCAAACCUUGUUCCUCCCUUCAUCUUUCUCAUUGGAGAUAAGGAGAGCAGAUAUAUACACCAUUGAUAUUUUUAUUUUACCAUUGUACCAUUGAUACUUUUAUUUAUCAUUGAAAUAACUAUGUUUGGGUCCAUUAAUAUGUGAAUUUAGGCAAGAUGCAACAGUAGAAAUUAAUAUACUGUAAAGAUAUAGGCACUUACUCAGUGAACGGGGAAAUGAGACAAAAUUUUGGAGGCUUCACUAGAGUGUAAAUGCUAGAACUUGGAUACCUAUGCUCCUGCAUACAUACAUGCCCUGGAGAUUUCAGCAUAAGGUAGAGGUAUCUGAAGUUAGCUUUAAAUAAAAUGGGUCAGUUAUUGGAAGGAAUCUGGCCU